rnacentral:rRNA from 1 species
UCGGAACGCGAUAGGGGAACCGCAGUGCCAGCAUACAAUGCUGGCUGUCCACAUGGUGUAAAUAGCAUGUGAUAGCAAGGGCCGGGCAAGACCGGUGCCAGCCGCCGCGGUAACACCGGCGGCCCGAGUGGUAAUCACUAUUAUUGGGUCUAAAGGGUCCGUAGCCGGUUUAAUCAGUCUUCCGGGAAAUCUGACAGCUCAACUGUUAGGCUUCCGGGGGAUACUGUUAGACUUGGGACCGGGAGAGGUAAGAGGUACUACAGGGGUAGGAGUGAAAUCUUGUAAUCCCUGUGGGACCACCAGUGGCGAAGGCGUCUUACCANAACGGGUCCGACGGUGAGGGACGAAAGCUGGGGGCACGAACCGGAUUAGAUACCCGGGUAGUCCCAGCCGUAAACGAUGCUCGCUAGGUGUCUGGAAUGGUGCGACCGUUUCAGGUGCCGCAGGGAAGCCGUGAAGCGAGCCACCUGGGAAGUACGGCCGCAAGGCUGAAACUUAAAGGAAUUGGGGGGGGGAGCACA